ACCGUGGUAAUUCUAGAGCUAAUACAUGCUAAAAACCCCGACUUCGGAAGGGGUGUAUUUAUUAGAUAAAAAACCAAUGCCCUCUGGGCUCUUUGGUGAUUCAUAAUAACUUAACGAAUCGCAUGGCCUUGCGCCGGCGAUGGUUCAUUCAAAUUUCUGCCCUAUCAACUUUCGAUUGUAAGAUAGAGGCUUACAAUGGUAUUAACGGGUAACGGGGAAUUAGGGUUCUAUUCCGGAGAGGGAGCCUGAGAAACGGCUACCACAUCCAAGGAAGGCAGCAGGCGCGCAAAUUACCCAAUGCUAAUUCAGCGAGGUAGUGACAAUAAAUACUGAUACGGGGCUCUUUCGGGUCUCGUAAUUGGAAUGAGUACAAUCUAAAUCCCUUAACGAGGAACAAUUGGAGGGCAAGUCUGGUGCCAGCAGCCGCGGUAAUUCCAGCUCCAAUAGCGUAUAUUAAAGUUGUUGCCGUUAAAAAGCUCGUAGUUGAACCUUGGACCUGGCUGAUCUGUCCUCCUAAUCGAGCGCACGGAUUCGGUCGGGUCUUUCCUUCUGGGGAGCCCUAUGCCCUUCACUGGGUGUAGUGGGGAACCAGGACUUUUACCUUGAAAAAAUUAGAGUGUUCAAAGCAGGCCUUUGCUCGAAUACAUUAGCAUGGAAUAAUAGAAUAGGACAUCGGUUCUAUUCUGUUGGUUUCUAGGACCGCUGUAAUGAUUAAUAGGGAUAGUCGGGGGCGUCAGUAUUCAAUUGUCAGAGGUGAAAUUCUUGGAUUUAUUGAAGACUAACUACUGCGAAAGCAUUCGCCAAGGAUGUUUUCAUUAAUCAGUGAACGAAAGUUAGGGGAUCGAAGACGAUCAGAUACCGUCGUAGUCUUAACCAUAAACUAUGCCGACUAGGGAUCGGACGGUGGUUUUUUUAUGCCCCGUUCGGCACCUUACGAGAAAUCAAAGUUUUUGGGCUCGGGGGGGAGUAUGGUCGCAAGGCUGAAACCUAAAGAAAUUGACGGAAGGGCACCACCAGGCGUGGAGCCUGCGGCUUAAUUUGACCCAACACGGGGAAACUCACCAGGUCCAGACAUGCUUAGGAUUGACAGAUUGAUAGCUCUUUCUUGAUUGUAUGGGUGGUGGUGCAUGGCCGUUCUUAGUUGGUGGAGUGAUUUGUCUGCUUAAUUGCGAUAACGAACGAGACCUUGACCUGCUAAAUAGCCAGGUCGACUUUUGUCGGCCGCCGGCUUCUUAGAGGGACUUUUGGCUCAAGC
rnacentral:rRNA from 1 species